CCUACGGGGGGCUGCAGUGGGGAAUAUUGGACAAUGGGGGUAACCCUGAUCCAGCCAUGCCGCGUGUGUGAAGAAGGCCCUCGGGUUGUAAAGCACUUUCAGUGAGGAAGAACGCCUGGUGGUUAAUACCCAUCAGGAAAGACAUCACUCACAGAAGAAGCACCGGCUAACUCCGUGCCAGCAGCCGCGGUAAUACGGAGGGUGCGAGCGUUAAUCGGAAUUACUGGGCGUAAAGCGCGCGUAGGUGGCUUGAUAAGCCGGUUGUGAAAGCCCCGGGCUCAACCUGGGAAACGGCAUCCGGAACUGUCAAGCUAGAGUGCAGGAGAGGAAGGUAGAAUUCCCGGUGUAGCGGUGAAAUGCGUAGAGAUCGGGAGGAAUACCAGUGGCGAAGGCGGCCUUCUGGACUGACACUGACACUGAGGUGCGAAAGCGUGGGUAGCAAACAGGAUUAGAUACCCGGGUAGUC
rnacentral:rRNA from 1 species